UCGCAUGAACAUCGGUUGCCAAUUGGAUGGAAACCUAGCUACUGAAUAAAUGGGUUUAGCACAAGAUAAAGAAGAUGAAACAAUCUACUGCUGCAACCCAAGGCCCAAGGCCAACGGAUACUGAAGUUCCUGAAAAGGCAAUCAGUUCCUACAGUGAGGGCCUGGGAACCAGCCUCUGAUAUGUCAGAUGGAGACCAGGACAACACAAAGUAAAAAUUUACACAUAAAAAAUAAACUUUUUUACAAGGUUUA